CGUGAAUUAUUCUCCAUUAGAAUCUUGGAAGGCCGAGGUGUAGGUAAUAUUAAAUGCUCGGGAAAAAGAAACAUAUACAAAAAGAAAAAUUCCUUGUCCUUGUCCUUUGUAAUCUGUGUUCAGACAUAAAGAGCCUCUUAACCACUUGAUUCAGAAGCAAGAAACUGUAGAAUUUGCCGUCCCACAAACCAGAAAUUGCAGAAGAGGAGGAAGGUGCUGUAUUUUGAAAAUUCAAGAUCGUGAAGGUCUUAAUUCUUGCCUUAUUUAUAACUUCCUCCUCAUGAGUGAUGCAAUUAUGAUUCGCAAUCUGAUAGAAUCCAAUUGAGGUCAGAUGUUGCAUCAAAAUGCACCUUGGUAGCUUGGAGAAGAGACUGAAGGGGAAGGCUUUCCAGCUUUCUAUCUGCACUGUCAAGACCUGAGCCCGGCGCUUCAAAUUUCUGAAUUUGCUGCCCUUCCACCCCAUUUUGUUUCUUGCACCAAAGGAAGGCAAUAACAACGCAGGCACAUACCAAUAGCAUAUCCCAUGCAUAAUACAAGAUACGAAAAAUGGUACAUUUCCUCAGUGUUAUGAUCAAUGGGGUAUAUAUAAUAACAAGCAAAAAUAACUAGUAGGAGGAGGAACAUGAAAAAUGGUGAUACAAUUAUUGCACCAAGCCAUAGCCAAUUGUUAGGUCCAAGAUCUGCUUUGAUGAGUGAGUAAUUAAUACAUCAAGCAUCUCAUCAGUAAUUCGCUGCUGAGAGCACAAAGCCUCUUUGUCAUCAAUACUAAUGUUACAUAACCUCUUUGUCAUAAAUACUAAUGUGGUAGCUAGCAUGUCAAGAAGAGAAUUUUUUCAAUUGUUCUACUAUCUAAGACCAUCUUAAACAUUUUAUUAACAUUAUAUAUAUUUUGAUUUUCCCAACAAAAUAUUCCCCCAAAAAAAGUCUCAAU
rnacentral:misc_RNA from 1 species